rnacentral:rRNA from 1 species
ACGGUGAGGGAUGAAAGCUGGGGGAGCAAACCGGAUUAGAUACCCGGGUAGUCCCAGCUGUAAACUAUGCAAACUCAGUGAUGCAUUGGCUUGUGGCCAAUGCAGUGCUGCAGGGAAGCCGUUAAGUUUGCCGCCUGGGAAGUACGUACGCAAGUAUGAAACUUAAAGGAAUUGGCGGGGGAGCACCACAAGGGGUGAAGCCUGCGGUUCAAUUGGAGUCAACGCCGA